UUUUGAUAUAAACCAUCCGGUAUCCAACCGCUUGUACCCGAGCGAUCGACUAGUCCGGAUUCGGGCCGGGCGACAAGUAAAGCCCUCCCCGGUACCCUUUUUAACAAGUGAGGAUUCGAACCCCCGCCCUCAAAGAGCAGAGACUCGCCUUACUUGUAGCCUAGCCAGUCACCACUAGGCCAGGAGUAUUCGG